CCCUUAGAUGUUCUGGGCCGCACGCGUGCUACACUGAGUGGAUCAGCGGGUCAGGUUGCGCGAAAGUGUUUCCUAAUCUUUAAAUCCGCUCGUGAUGGGGAUUGACGGUUGCAAUUUUCCGUCAUGAACGAGGAAUACCUUGUAAGCGCGGGUCAUCAUCCCGCGCUGAAUACGUCCCUGCCCUUUGUACACACCGCCCGUCGCUCCUACCGAUUGAGUGGUCCGGUGAGGUUUUGGGAUCUGAGCGGAAAGAGCGUUUCGCUGUUUCUGCUCGGAAAACUCAGUCGAACCUUAUCAUUUAGAGGAAGGAGAAGUCGUAACA
rnacentral:rRNA from 1 species